GGGAGAUCAGUCUUAAAUCCAUCUCCCUGGCCACUAAAAUUAGGGGUUUAUGUAGCAGGGAAGAUGUGUAAUAAUGUGUAAGAAAGCAGGAACUAGGGAGGGGCAAGGAAGCAAUCAUGAUGAAUGAGGGCCUGGCAUCUCAUUGUCUGGAUAUGAUUAGCUGAUAAUUGGAGAGAAGAAAGAAAAUGCAGCCAAACAUGACUGAAAUGCUGUAAGACUGAAGGAGAGAAGAAACAGUAUUGCAAACAGGAGAAGGCUUGGCCAGCAUCACCUUAGUUAGCAAGAUUGUGUUGGGCAGCCAGGCAGAGCCAGCCACUUAUGAGAUACCCACAUUACAGGGCCAUCAUCAUCAAAUUAUGCUCAAAAUGCCUCCACUUUUCUUUAGUUGUAUUUCCUAUCUUGAUAAGAUCUUUUGGUCUUUCCAAUGAUGUAGAAUGUGCCAUGGGUGCUACUAGCCAGG
rnacentral:lncRNA from 1 species